UAAUAGAUAAUUAGAAAAACUGAACGGGUGGACAAAUAUGCCCAAAACUUAAUUACUAAAUAUCUAAAUAGCAACUCCAGUGAAUAAUAUAAGCCUUUUUGCUCACUUAGACACUUAAAAUGUGAAACACAUUGUGUUAAUGGAUAAAAAAGUGGGUUUUUCAUGUUAUGUCUCCUUUAACCGCUGGGUCUGUCUUACGUGUUGUUGGCAUCUUAAAGAACUUCAACCUCUGUUAUUCUUGUCUGAGUGGAGCUAUUCUCAAUGCUUUAAAGAAGAAUUCGUGGCGGAGCCGUGGUGCGCCCGUCCUCUCACAUGGCAGCCAUAACCGGAAGUCCUCACUGAUUUUCUUUUUAAACUCAAAAAGGUUUCUAUGUUGUUGAAAGUGAAAAUGGGAUUUUAUUAAUGAACUCAGAGUACUUUUUAAUAAUCCAGAUUUCUGUGCAAAGUGAUUCAACACAUUCUCACACCCGAAGCGGCUAAAACUGACACGGGGUGACCAAGCGUUUGUUUCAGAUGCGUUGGGGCUCCCAAAAUGUCUGGAGGCGAUGCGCUGGGCCAGAGCGUCGCUUUUCGACGCCCGCGGUAAAAUGGGAGAUUUCACUCAAUUGUGACCUUUAGCCUCUUGCAAUUUUACCUUCCCCUCACCCAGGCACGCAGAUAGGAUGGGGUACGGGGGGAUCUGUCCCCCCAGAUUCAGAUCAACCCCGAUCCGUCCCCCGCAUUAAAGGAGCAUGGGGCAGGAUGAAGAAAAGAAACUCAUUAGCGAUGCACUCGGCGCUGUGAGUAACUGCAGCCCGGCACGAGAGCGCGCACAAACUCUUCUUCACUAGAAAAAAAAAAGUUUCAAUGAUGUACGGCCAGAGCGCGGCUCGAACAAGGCACCAUGUCGAGCGAUGAAGUAAGUAACAUUGUUACUUUAGUCUUAAUAUUUGUAAAAUUCCAUGACAACAUUAGCAUUUGAAUUUAGCCAUGACACUCGUGAUGUAAAGCAAGUGCUCCUUCCUAUGAAAUAUUCGUAAGCCAGUUUUGUGACUGGCGAGCAAGACAGUAACAUGAUGCUACUUUAUCAGCAUAAGGCUUUGUGACUGCAGGUGAUUUCUGAUGUUUUUAGGCAAAUUACAGUUAUUAUUUUGCACUAAGCUUACUAACAAGCUAAUGUUAUUGUUUAUACAUCAUGUAAGAACAUCCAAUUUCAAGUCACUGACAUCAUUUGUGAAACCAAUUUCAUUACAGGACAGGCAUCACAACAAUGUAAAUGAGAACAUAAAUAUCAAUGUUUAGUUCAAAAAAUGCAUCAAAAUAAAAUCAUAAUAUCAAGAAGUCCUACAGGGUAAUACAGUCAUUUUUAUCAUUACUGUCAUUGGUUUUCAGGAAUUCACAUUGGAAGGAGUGAUGGAAGACAGUUCAGAUAAGGAGUAUGUGCCUGAGCCUGCCACAGACUUUGAUGUGUCGUGGGAAAGUCUGAGACCAGGGGGUAAAGGAAAGGGCAGUACUGGAAAGGGGAGAGGAAAAGGUCGCUCCGAGGGUCGGGGAAGGACACGCUCAAGGGGUGAGGGCAGCAGGUUGAGAUCCAGAGCUCGUUCAAGAGGACCAGGGCGCCGGGGUAGGCAGCGAACAGCUUUCAGAGAAGAGGACCGAGACCGGCUUGCACAGCUGAGAGCUGCCAGUAUAGCUGAGAUGCAGACAGCUUUACAACACCUGAGCCAGGAGGAGAGAGAUUAUAUUCUCGAGAGAGAGUGGUGAACCGUCUUCCAGGGGUGAUGCUGGAUAUCCUGGAGUUUCGGCAAGAGACGCCAGGACACCAUCUUCCUGAUCAAGGGCAGCCUGCGUGGUGCACUUGCCAGAACUGCCGACGCAUGCCUACACAGAUUGAAAAUCUGUGCUGUAGGCAGGUUCUGGAGCUCUGUCUAAGCAGAAGUGCUCACCUGGAGCUAUACUGCUUGGAUGAGGGCACAUUGCAUCUAGUGAUGAUGACCUGGAACGACAUCUUCGCCUUAGAGGACAACCAAGAUGUGGGCACAGACAACCGAGAGUUUCGUUUUGCUGCGUAUCGUCAGUUUGCUGUCUGGCACCGUGUGGGCGUCUGGGAAGAGGAAGUCGGAGACCAAUUCCAAGCUGCUGUGUUCUACGUAUACGGGAAAAAUUCCCUGAUCCAUUUGGGAAUUACACUGGCUACAAAAGAAGCACCAUUUAGGGUGGCAGACUGAAAAUCCAAAACGUUUAUCUACAACUACAGUAGUUCCAAAACAGCACAAUACCUCAAAAUAACUUUAGCUGAAGACAGUAUUUCCACCCAAAAAUAAACAAAUAGUUUGUGCUAUAUAUUUAUUUUAUUUAUGUACAAAAAAGUUCUGUUAUUUGCAUUUGUACAUAGUAUUUUUUCUUAAUUUCUAAUAAAUCUGUGUGCAUGAAAGAAGUCAUUCCUGUCUUUUGAUGCUUCACGUAGCUGGGGCCUUUAUGGAAAGAGGAGAACAGUAGCAUUAGAUCAUAUAGCAAGGCUCCAUCCAAUUUGGUAAUUGUCAUUUUCAACUUGACCUUGGCACAACAGAAAAGUGAUGUGUUGUGCAGGUAGUGUGAACAUUACAAAUAGUUCCAGACUUAUAAAUUAAUUACUGGUGUUCUUCUGUAUAUUCUUACUUUGUGACUCAUAAUUGUCUUCUUUUUUCUUAUGUAACACAGUUUGGAUAGAUGUUUUUUUCCAUUUAUAUGCAGGCAGCAGAGGGACAAUGUCGCCAUCUGCUGCCUGCAUAUAAAUGGAAGCGAUGUCUCGAACAGCUGGCGACUCUGACGAAGGCGUAAGUGAUCCGACUGAAACAUGAAAGGUAAAAAUACAUCUACCCAAACUAUGUCAAAUAGGAAAAAAGAAGACAAUUACUGGUGUAUUAUAAUUGGUGAUACAACCAAAACUGCAAAAAGGUGCAGCAGAUGGCUUGUGAGAUUGAAUAUUUUAUGCUGAGGUUUAUUUAUUUAUUUUAACCAGUACAACAAUAAACAUAAUUAGAAUUGAGCUGACAAGAAAUGUGGGAUUUUGUUGAAUGACACACCUGUCCUCUGCGAAUUUGUGUCUGGACCAGUUCUGCCGUGGGGGGUGCGACAACUCCAGCUAAAUUCCCAAGAUUUCUUGGGUCACCGGGGUUGCGUUUUGCAAUUCUUGGGAGCGCCCCUCCAUCCUUUCGUUUUAUGAGGAUGCAACGCUGAAGUUCAGGGAUGUAGCUGUAGUCUUUGGCAACCUUGACCACUUGUACGUGGUAAUUUUGUGACUUUUUGCUGUAGAGCCGCUUGUAUCUAAAAGACAAGCAUUACAGGAUUUAUUGAAGGUCCACCUUUCUACAUUUUCAUUCAACGACACAAAUAUUUUACAGUAACAAAUCCAACAACUUAUUUUGAAGCACAGAUCAUAUUCAGUUACCUUGAAGAUAAACAAAACUAUUAGACUUACGACUUCUCAUUUUUCCGGGUUGUAUAAUCUGGUCGGUGGUUGUGGUGGUUGUAAUCCAACGCAGCAAGAAGGCACCUGGCUUCGUAGACAGGAGGAGAGAAGGCAAGCCUGUGUUUUGCAUGGAGAGGGGGUCAAGAUUUAUAAAAAUUGAACCACAUAAUUUUCAAGGGACUAAUAUUUCUAGGACAUAACACAUGCUAGAUAUUUCUAUUUGUCAUUCAUAACCUGGAAAAUGUAGUAAUUUCAGUUAGUAAUUAUAACAAAUUAUGUACAAAUCACUUCUAAAUCAAAUUACCGUUUUUCCAGCAUACAUGAGAAUGUAAUUCUGGAAACUCUCCAGUUCUGAAGUUGACCUGUAAAAAAAAAACUGAAGCUACAACUUUAUAGAUUAUUAGGAAUCACACUUUUGAUUGCCUUUUCACCCACAAUUGUCAUUUCUAUAUGUAAAUUGUCAGUUUUGAUAUUGACACUUUAGCUUUUUUGCUUAUGAAAAUGUUAUUAAUAUACCUAAAGGUCAGAUACUUGGUGACAUCCUUCAACCAGCGUCUGGUGAACAUGAUUCGUUGAAGAGCCUCGUGUGGUGGAGAUCCUGGCACCAUGAGCUCUUUAUCACUGGUCGUUGCAUCAAGUGGUCCAUGGUCACAUUUGCCACGGGUCCAUUCAUGCUUCCCUGUGACAUGGUGAAGCACACCCACCCACAUGUCCUAACAGAAAAAAUAAGUUUUAUUUGAAAACUUUACAUGUGACAGAAGCGCUCACCAACAGAAACACGAGAGCUGGCACUAUUAUGAAAAGAAAGGUAAUUAUGUCAAUGUGCAUUGUUGUCUUGUUGUCCAAAAGAUGUCGCAAUACUUACAUUAAACAUAUCACGAUGUUGUGCUUUCUGGAAAAUGUACCAAAAUUGGUUGAAGAUGUCCUUCAGCCACACAAGUAGGAUGGAAUUUCCCUUUAGGAUCCCAGCCUGUGAACAAGGAUAAAACAACAAUUCCAUCUUUUAGUUCUUUUUAAAACAUAGAAGGGUUUUAUUUACCUGCAACGUUUUGUUUGCGGCUGCAAACUUCGUCAGCCUGACAAAGUUUUCAUAACAGUUCUAUUCUAUUAUGAAAACAAUAAAUAAAAGUAGAAUUAAUAUAUUGUUUUAAGACUUUGGAGUUUAAAAAAGAGUGUAGAUAAGAAGACAUUGCAACUCACACCCUGUUGAGUAAGUUGUUUGCUUGGUCCUCAUCAAUUUGGACUGCAUCCGUAGCUAGAUCCAUGGAUUUGAAACUACAGACAACACAGUAAUAUUUGUUGUACGUAAAGAUAAAUACUGGAACUUACCUGAAAUGGUACUGAUUCUAAAGAGAUAAAUGUGGAGCCUAAUACAUCUGUCAUUAAUUCUUUCUGCAAAUAACAACAAUCUGCCGUGAAUUGACACUUCACAAAAUAAAUAAAUAAAUAUAUAUAAUGACCUAUAUUUGCUUAUCUAUUGUGUUUUUUAUCUUUUUUGCACAUAGUACAGCAGUAAUUUCCUGCAUAUAUGGCAAGACUUCUCAUGAACAAAUUUACCUUUCUUCAAAAGGAUCCAAAUCUAGGUCAUCAGCACCUCAACACCAGCCAUUAGAAAAUCUUCCCUGUAAAGAUAAUGUCAGAAGUGUUUGGUGGUGUGAUGUUAGUUCUGAACCAAGUGUGGAUAUGCAAGGUGUAAUUUAAUGUAUGAAAUAUCAUAGCACAAAAACGUGAAUAUUUGUUUUACAGAAAAGAUACUAACCCCUCAGACACAGGUUCAAUUGGAGAUAAUCUAUGCGACAUUUUAGCUGCUGUUCGCUUACUGGGUGUCGAGGUUGACUUCACAUUACCUCCCUGAAUUGCAGUUUCAGGAGCCUGCUUCUUCCGGUAGCUGGAAAACACAUUUUUAAACAAAAAUGUCAACAAGUUGGUUGGGACUCUACACCCUCUGUUUACAUAGAUCAAUAAUGGCUAAGCUUUUUUUACCUGUGGCACAACUAGUAAUAUGAAAAUGCAGGUCAGUUAUAAAAAAAUGUAUUUAUAAUUUUCACAAACAUAUUUCAUUCUGACCUACAUUCAACAGGACAAAUUUAGAAAAAUAAACAAAAACUUCUGCACAACUUUACUUUUAGUAAAACAUGUAGUUAUGGCUGACUCGUUAUCUACUCUUUUGUAGCACAGCAAUAACGUUAGGAAAAGAUAUUUUGAUGGGGUUCUGUUACACAAACCCCAAGAAUAACAUUAUCUACUGAAGUAACAGUCCUGCUUAGAGGUUGGACUGUAGAUCAAAUAUAGCAUAAUUCUAAAGACUCAUCUUUGGUUUGGAAAAUGUCCGUUCUCUUCUGUGGCACAUAGAAACUGAAGCGUGAUCACAGCUAAAAUGCUACCGCACGCUAGCUCUGUCCGACUCGGUGACGUCAUAUAAUCAAAUCAAGCUCUGUUUACUUUUCUCGUCAGAAUAAACGGAGCACCCAUUUAUCUCCAAACACAAGCGGUGUGUCGUCCACAAAACGUAGAAGUGAUCCGAUUACUCCUUAGUUGCUUUUAGCUUUUUCAAACUGAUCAGGAAGCCAUAUGCUAAACACUGUUAGCUUUGAUAAGUUUCUUGUUUUUUGUUCAUUUGCACAAAGAUUUGUUAGAUUACCUAAAUCAGUAUUAUCUAAAUCCAUAGGUUUUCUUUUCUUAAAUUGUGGAGAUACAGCUCUGAUAUGUUUACCUACUUGUUACUGAAACCUACAGCAGACAUAAGGAGACCAGGUAAUACAACACUUACCUGGUCACUAGAAAAUGCGCCAUGUCCGCAUCCUUUUUCAGGCCCAAAUUGAGUUGAACCAGCCUCAUUCUCCCAGAGCGUACCCAAUACAUAUUCGGGUCCCUGACCGACUUUUAUCAUAUUUUCUUUUUGACUCUCGAGAUGCCGCUGAUAAAACCUUCUUCUUUGUGCCACUCUUUAGUGGGCUUUGAGUUGCGCUUGGUCUUUUGCUAGUUGUAGAAUCCAUGCCCAGGGUUCUUCCACUUCUGUUUGAGGUUUUAACGUGGCUAGUAGUGAAAGACGCAUUACCGCCACCUAGCAAGCUUCCAAAUGUUUUUCCGGGUUUGAACCUUGUCGAGAACGCGCUUGAAGCGUCAAUUAACGUCACAUCCGUAAAACAGCGCGGGAAAUUCGGAUCAGAAAUGUUUUGCAAUUUGAAGCACACAGUCUAAGAAAAUGGAAUGAUAAACUGGUUUCAUCAUUCUUUUUAGUUUAAAAUGCUUCAUCACCCAUAAGCUUCACAAGAAUGAACAUGAAUCCUAUUUACUUGCCCCACGCUCCUUUAAGGCCAGAAAGAAAACAAAAUCGGAGGUUAAGCACUUGAAGCUUCUUUUUCCAAUUACAUUGAAUGCAGCAUGACGUAAACAAACACCAACUCCAGAGUGGUUGCUGCUAGGAUGCAGGAUGAAGCGAAAAAGGCAAGCAACAAUUACUGCGUAUUUAAAAAAGACCAACAGUGUAAGUAGGCGUGUCAGGGAUUUUUAAUGUAUUAAUGUAUUAUUCUUUUAAUGUUCCUUUUUAAGUAAUCAAAUGUUAGUCAGGACUGUUUUUUUCCUUUCAGUCAACCUCUGGUAUGCUGUGGGGAUUGGUAGAAAUAGUCUGCCUGGCAACAGGCUGAAUGAGUCAUCAGUUUUUGGCCUUCAGCUAACUUGAGACUUCCUCUUUGUCGGUCCCGCCUUAGGUAGAAGUUACGUUGUUAUUGGUCAGUUCUAGCUCAGAAGCAAUGUUAUUGUUUAGCGUAGGCUAUGAUGAAUAGGUCUUUGUCCUCAUUUUCUCUCUCUAACUAAAAGUGCUGGAGUGGGAGCGGAAGGCAGAGUUGGAAGGCAAUGUUCUGAUCAUGCUUUCGGCUCUCCGCUGCAGCUCAUAAAAUCAACCAAUCUUCUCUGGUGUGCGUUCUUUUGGUUAAAAUAUACUAGGGAUGCACGAUAUUAGGAAACCCUGCGAUAUUCGAUAACAGUGCUUAAUGUUGCGAUAUCGAUAUUACUCGCGAUAAUUGAACAAAUACUCAAGUGUUGAUGUCGUCUGGCGUGUGAUGUCUGCUCUGGGUUCAAAGCAAACAAAAACUAAUGCAUGAAUUCCAUUACAACAUAACAUUUUAUAGCAAAAA